UACGUAGGAUGCAAGCGUUGUCCGGAAUUAUUGGGCGUAAAGAGCGAGCAGGCGGUUCGACAAGUCAGAUGUAAAAUAUCCCGGCUUAACCGGGAGGGGCCAUUUGAAACUGUCGGACUAGAGUGGAGCAGAGGAUAGUGGAAUUCCCGGUGUAGUGGUGAAAUGCGUAGAUAUCGGGAGGAACACCAGUGGCGAAGGCGACUAUCUGGGCUUUAACUGACGCUGAGGCGCGAAGGCCGGGGGAGCAAACAGG
rnacentral:rRNA from 1 species